ACCGUAUAUGAUUCGGAGCACCUGUGGACCCCGCUGAGUCAUCAUCCCGAAGAGCGGAACGAGGUAGCGCCGGGCGCGGGGAAUCUCCCUGCUGGCGCACGUGCGCCGGAACCGACGCCAGCCAGUGCCGUCCGACGUCUCUCCAGCCUCGUCCCUUUCCUCCCUGUAUCAACCACCGGAAGGGAGUCGAUUUAUUCCAGUGUGUGCAAGGAGGAGGGCUUCGGUGGUUCCUGACGGAGGAGGAGAAGCUCUGGGUGCAAGGAGAGAAGAAAGUAUAGGCAUCGUUCGAAUCAGAUCGCGUGAUGGAGACGGAUUUCUUGGGAAUUCACGAGAGGGAUUUGGACCCGCAGACGUCGGAGGAGGACACCGGUGGGAGGCGCCAAGAUUCAGGGAUCAGGUUGCUGAAAUUAUUGGACUAUAUGAGAUAAAAGGUUGGUCUUAUAUUUUCUUGAAGCAAAUCUUGUGAGCUGUGGAUCUGGCAACUGGUACGAAGACCGAGUACGGAAAAUACGACGCUUUUAUGGUGGUGUGGCAUUUUAUUCCUUCUUUUUGCUAAAGAUUGAAACGGUAGGAGAUUUGAUUGGCUUCAGCAACGGCAUUAAUCCUGGUUUCUAAUGCUGAGUAACUUACUCUCUUGAUGGGUUUAGUUCGUUUCUUUGGAAAAUGAUAUGAUUUUUGUGUUUUUGGUGCUCUAACAGCUGAAUUUUUCAGUAAAAUGUUGGAAGCCAGAGGCUCAAAUUUGUAAUGGAUGCUAUCUUUGAAAGAUUCUUGUCUUUAACUUCUUGCUGCUCUAAUUACUUUUGCUCGACUGUUGGUUGAGAUAUGCGUUUCAUGUUUCUGUAUUGGAAAGGAAAACGGGGGCACUUAGAAUUUGAGUCCAUCAGACCCAUCGUAUUGUAAAUUUUUGAGGUGGUUUUUAUUGUGAUAUAUGUCAGUGGUCAGUCGAUUUGUAUAGCUUUUGAGAAUAAUCAAUAGUCAAAUUAAUGGAAGAUGCUUCUGAUCUAAUUCCAAAUCUGCUUUUGCAUUUGUUUCUAACUCUCAGCUAUGUAAGGAGCUUCAACAGUGCAAUGGCCUUUCUUGAACAAGAUGUCUACCAUGCAGCCAUUCAUGUUCUACAAGGGUGCACAAGAGGAGAAGCCAAGAAACUGUCUCUGAUGAACACUCAUCUUCUAGAUUCCAACCUGUAUCAGCCAUUGAUGCCUUUGAGGCCAAUCAGAAAUGCUUCAGUUUCGACAUAUGGCGAAGGAUGAACCAAUAUCCAUUCCAUGCAUAUCAGCCUCAGAACACUGGUUUUGUUGAUUCUUCACAGCACGAGUUAAAUCACUUUAGUCCUGUCAACAUGAGCAGUCCUUCGUUCAAGACUGUGGGUGCUCUAAAUGGCCCUAAUAUAGCAGUCACCUCUGCCAAGCAGCAGCCUUUUGGAUGUGGCACCACCAUUAGCACCCCCUGUUGGUGUCCCUGUGCUUGGAGCUUUUAAUCCAAGCAAUAUGGCCAACACAACCGCCAAUAUGACUGCUCUGCUAACUAUUUUCUAUGGGAACUGCAUAAAUGUGUAUGAUGACAUUCCAUUGGAUAAGGCAAUUAUGUUAUUGGUGAGUAAGGGAUCUACAGUGACUUGAAAUGCUAUGAAUUCGAGAUCUGAAGCACCCUUACUAGCUGCAGCCUCAGUACCAGCUGAAGCAGUAGAAUCAGAUGGUUUAACUACGAAAAUGACUUUGAGAUCUAACGGGAAUCAUGUGGUAUCACCCUGCCCAUAUCCCUCAUGCUCGACAUCAGUUAUGUCAUAUACCGUGGCUAGCUCAAGUAGUGGUGAUAGCACCUAUGAUGACACAAUGGGGACUAAAGCUGUCGGUUCCAUGGUUCCUACAAGCUGGCAAGAAAUUUCCAAAAAAUCAACUUCAGUUUUAGGAUUAGAAAUUGUAGCAAUUGACAUCCCAAGAGGUCAUUAGCUCUAAGGUUUGAUGAAUUGGCAAACUUUGUUUCUCCAGAAUAAUGAGGAUUUUAAUCAUAUCUCAUAUACAGUCUUUGUUUCUGUGUCUACUAAAUUUUUGAUAACUUUUUUAUCAGGUUAAAUAGCCCAGGUAAAUAAAUAGAUUGGUGAUUUAUAUAUGCAGCUGUACCUCAAGCUCAUAAGGCAUCACUACCACGAUUCCUGGAAAAGCGCAAGGAGAGGUGAGAUUGGUCUGUUUGUGUGCAUUUGAUUAACUACAUCCACUGCUUAUCUCUUACCUUCUCUACUUAGUUAGAUCCUUUCGAUACAAGACCAUGAGCAUUAAGGACCAUUCUUAGUUUCUUUAAUGAAUUUAUGUUCAAGUGUAUGACAAAAUACAUUGUUCUUGUUUAUAUUAAUAUUUCUUCCAUUCACCUUGUCAAGAGAGGUGCUUUGCUCUGAGUUGUUCAUUUUCAGGAUGACCAAUACCAUUCCAUAUGCUUGUUCCAAGAAAAUUCCUGAAAACAGUAGUAGAUGCUGAAGUUGCAAUGUGUCAAGCAAAAUUUCAUUGGCUGAUAUCAAUCUUUCGAGGAGAGGACUUAUGGUUUGUGGCACACCAAAAGAGCAGCAUGGACAGUGGGGAGCCCCUAAGUAUUAAGCUAGCAUAAUGAGUUUGCACUUGAAUCAGGCCUGUAAUGUAUGAUUAAAUUAUUUGUUCAUUUCAGUGAUAAAAUUUCAGAUGAGAGAUAUCAUAAUGUACUACGUAGUAGAGAGUCUUAUAGGGAUCUCUGAUUACUUGUCCCAAUAUAAUUCAAUUGCUAUAUCAUAGAGAAAAAGAUGGUUAUAUCAGGAAUUA